rnacentral:rRNA from 1 species
AGAGUUUGAUCCUGGCUCAGAACGAACGCUGGCGGCAGGCCUAACACAUGCAAGUCGAGCGCGCCUUCGGGUGAGCGGCGGACGGGUUAGUAACGCGUGGGAACGUGCCCUUCUCUACGGAAUAGCCUCUGGAAACGGAGAGUAAUACCGUAUACGCCCUUUGGGGGAAAGAUUUAUCGGAGAAGGAUCGGCCCGCGUUAGAUUAGGUAGUUGGUGGGGUAAUGGCCUACCAAGCCUACGAUCUAUAGCUGGUUUUAGAGGAUGAUCAGCAACACUGGGACUGAGACACGGCCCAGACUCCUACGGGAGGCAGCAGUGGGGAAUCUUAGACAAUGGGGGCAACCCUGAUCUAGCCAUGCCGCGUGAGUGAUGAAGGCCUUAGGGUCGUAAAGCUCUUUCGCCUGUGAUGAUAAUGACAGUAGCAGGUAAAGAAACCCCGGCUAACUCCGUGCCAGCAGCCGCGGUAAUACGGAGGGGGUUAGCGUUGUUCGGAAUUACUGGGCGUAAAGCGCGCGUAGGCGGAUUAGAAAGUUGGGGGUGAAAUCCCGGGGCUCAACCUCGGAACUGCCUCCAAAACUGCUAGUCUAGAGUUCGAGAGAGGUGAGUGGAAUUCCGAGUGUAGAGGUGAAAUUCGUAGAUAUUCGGAGGAACACCAGUGGCGAAGGCGGCUCACUGGCUCGAUACUGACGCUGAGGUGCGAAAGUGUGGGAGCAAACAGGAUUAGAUACCCUGGUAGUCCACACCGUAAACGAUGAAUGCCAGUCGUCGGGUAGUAUACUAUUCGGUGACACACCUAACGGAUUAAGCAUUCCGCCUGGGGAGUACGGUCGCAAGAUUAAAACUCAAAGGAAUUGACGG